UAUCUGCCUGAAAGACAAACGCUUUUGUCAAACUGUUCACAGACGGUGUUUUAUGGGUUGGAGGGUUUGCUGAGAGACCUACCUGCUGAGAAAGUCUUGCUGAGACAGUCUAAAACGAAAGUAAGAAGACGCUUCUCGCCUGAAUGUCCCUCUGGUCUGGAAUAGAAGUUAUCGAUUGGCAGUGGUGUCCAGUUCCCUGCCGGACGUGUAUGUGGAGAAGCUGCUAGACUUUGUGGCCUCGACCCUGGAGAAUUCCAGGCACUUGCAGUUCUACCUCACCUGGGCUCAGAACCUCCUCACCUUACAUGGGCAGAAGCUCAAGAACAGGUCAGGAGCAAUACUACCGACUAUACAGCAGCUGUUGAAGAGCAUCCAGAGACACCAUGAUGACCUGUCCAAACUGUGAGUCCCUGUCCACUCCAUGCCCAUCAUAUAACAUACAGAUUACAAUGUUGAUAUCUAAAUCUCAAAUCCCAGUCCAUAGUCCAAAUAUGGAAACUAAGCUACAAAAACAGCCCAUUUUGUGUUCGUCAUGGUAACAAUGUCACAACCACAAGCAUAUUUACAUAUGACCAUCCAUUCAGCCUUCAGCAAUAGCGUUAUUACUGCAUACAGUCUGCAGCAGACCUAUUUAGGUGGAAGGUAAAAUUAUUAAAUGCUGUGCUGCCUCAGGCUGCUGGGCAGUAAAUGUAUCAUUACAUAGCAUACAUUUCCAAAGCAUCCCAGAAGAACUUAAUAGUUUGUUCUGUACAUUUUAGCCUGGCAUGAUAGGAUCAGACCAUCAGAACAAAGGUCACAUUAAAAUCAUAUUAAAUCAUAUUAUCAUAUUAAAAGGUUUUAGGCACUUAGGAUUUGUUCAAAUGUAUGUUCAAUUAUUUCCAAAUCUCUAAUCGAAAAAGCCCAGUAUUAUUUGUAAUUAUCAUCCAAAACCUGGUGCUUUGGUGAUGGAAUUUAACAACUCCAUUGAACGCUAGUGGCAUCUAGGAGACAUGUGGAACCAAACUUUGUUUUUCUUGCUCACAGGACUUCCUGUCACUUAUUUAUUGUAUUUAUGUGUAUUUUAUUGUAAGGAGAUACAGUGUUUAAGAACUGCCAAGAUAAAUGGUUUAAAUUAGUGUGCUUAGGUGCACAUUACUGUACACCUGUCUUAAAGGCACAGUACUAAAACGAUUGAUUUAUUUCUAAGGGUUUUUUGGCCCUGUAAAAUUAAUUGCUGUUUUAGUGAUAAAAAAAAAAAAUCUUUUCCCAACAACAUAUAUAAAUGUUCCAUCUGUUCCUAUUUCAGUUUUUGUAACACAAUCGAAGCCUGAGACAAAAUAUCAGUUAUAUUUUAACUUUUUAGGCCAGUGGACAGCUCUCACAACACUGUCCUAUUAAUCUUUAGGUAGCAGACAUGCUUUCAUACCGAACUGCUUGGUAGAUAAGGACUUCCCUUCAGUUUUAAGGGGGCUUGUGAUUCAAGUAGUGACACUGGAGGACACACACACUCACUGCAUUUACUUAGGACAGUUGGAGUAUGCUUUAUUGUUCAUCUUAAGUGCCAAACCACAGACGUUCUUUGACAUGAAAAAUACAAACAGAUGAAACUACCUGUAGCUUCAGCCCAAACAAUGGAGCUAUGAGACCACAGUGAAAGCAAUAAAAUAAAAAGUCAGCGUGGAGGAGAUAUUGAUUAGGCAACAGAGAUACUCUUAACUGCAAAUUCUGCAAAAAUUACAUAUAUCACUGCUGUCGGAACAAAACCUCAUAUCUCCGGUUUUCAGUUUUUGACAUAAUUUAAAAAAUGCCUGUUGCUCUUUACAUUGUGUGCAAAUU